rnacentral:rRNA from 1 species
GUUUGAUCCUGGCUCAGAGUGAACACUGGCGGCAGGCCUAACACAUGCAAGUCGAACGGCAGCACAGGAGAGCUUGCUCUCUGGGUGGCGAGUGGCGGACGGGUGAGGAAUGCGUCGGAAUCUGCCUAUUCGUGGGGGAUAACGUAGGGAAACUUACGCUAAUACCGCAUACGACCUACGGGUGAAAGUGGGGGACCUUCGGGCCUCACGCGGAUAGAUGAGCCGACGCCGGAUUAGCUAGUUGGCGGGGUAAAGGCCCACCAAGGCGACGAUCCGUAGCUGGUCUGAGAGGAUGAUCAGCCACACUGGGACUGAGACACGGCCCAGACUCCUACGGGAGGCAGCAGUGGGGAAUAUUGGACAAUGGGCGCAAGCCUGAUCCAGCCAUGCCGCGUGUGUGAAGAAGGCCUUCGGGUUGUAAAGCACUCUUGUUGGGGAAGAAACAGCGCAGGUUAAUAACCGGCGUGAAUGACGGUACCCAAAGAAUAAGCACCGGCUAACUUCGUGCCAGCAGCCGCGGUAAUACGAAGGGUGCAAGCGUUACUCGGAAUUACUGGGCGUAAAGCGUGCGUAGGCGGUUUGUUAAGUCUGAUGUGAAAGCCCCGGGCUCAACCUGGGAAUGGCAUUGGAUACUGGCAGGCUAGAAUGUGGUAGAGGGUGGUGGAAUUCCCGGUGUAGCGGUGAAAUGCGUAGAGAUCGGGAGGAACAUCCGUGGCGAAGGCGGCCACCUGGACCAACAUUGACGCUGAGGCACGAAAGCGUGGGGAGCAAACAGGAUUAGAUACCCUGUAGUCCACGCCCUAAACGAUGCGAACUGGAUGUUGGGCACACUUAGGUGCUCAGUGUCGAAGCUAACGCGUUAAGUUUCGCCGCCUGGGGAGUACGGUCGCAAGACUGAAACUCAAAGGGAAUUGACGGGGGCCCGCACAAGCGGUGAGUAUGUGGUUUAAUUCGAUGCAACGCGAAGAACCUUACCUGGUCUUGA